AUUGAACGCUGGCGGCAUGCCUUACACAUGCAAGUCGAACGGUAACGGGCCUUCGGGUGCCGACGAGUGGCGAACGGGUGAGUAAUGCAUCGGAACGUACCUUUCAGUGGGGGAUAACGUAGCGAAAGUUACGCUAAUACCGCAUAUUCUGUGAGCAGGAAAGCAGGGGAUCGCAAGACCUUGCGCUGAUUGAGCGGCCGAUGUCAGAUUAGCUAGUUGGUGAGGUAAAAGGCUCACCAAGGCGACGAUCUGUAGCGGGUCUGAGAGGAUGAUCCGCCACACUGGAACUGAGACACGGUCCAGACUCCUACGGGAGGCAGCAGUGGGGAAUUUUGGACAAUGGGGGCAACCCUGAUCCAGCCAUGCCGCGUGAGUGAAGAAGGCCUCGGUUGGUAAAGUACGUA
rnacentral:rRNA from 1 species